rnacentral:rRNA from 1 species
UACGUAGGGUGCGAGCGUUGUCCGGAAUUACUGGGCGUAAAGAGCUCGUAGGUGGUUUGUCGCGUUGUUCGUGAAAACUCACAACUCAAUUGUGGGCGUGCGGCGAUACGGGCAGACUGGAGUACUGCAGGGGAGACUGGAAUUCCUGGUGUAGCGGUGGAAUGCGCAGAUAUCAGGAGGAACACCGGUGGCGAAGGCGGGUCUCUGGGCAGUAACUGACGCUGAGGAGCGAAAGCGUGGGGAGCGAACAGG